AGCCAUGCGAGUCGAGAGACUUCGGGUCUCGGCAGACGUCUCAGUAACACGCGGAUAAUCUACCCUUGAGUGGGGGAUAAGCUCGGAAACCUGAGUAUAAUACCCCAUAGGCCUAGGAUGCUGGAAUGCUUCUAGGCUGAAAGCUCCGGCGCUCAAGGAUGAGUCUGUGGCCUAUCAGGCUGUAGUGGGUGUAACGGACCCACUAACCCUCGACGGGUACGGGCCUUGAGAGAGGUUGCCCGGAGUUGGACUCUGAGACAUGAGUCCAGGCCCUACGGGGUGCAGCAGGCGCGAAAACUUCACAAUGUGGGAAACCACGAUGAGGGGAUUCCAAGUGCCAGCACACUGUGUUGGCUGUUCACCUGCCUAAAAAGCUGGUGAAGUAAGGGCCGGGUAAGACGGGUGCCAGCCGCCGCGGUAAUACCCGCGGCCCGAGUGGUGGUCGUUGUUAUUGAGCCUAAAGCGUCCGUAGCCGGUCCAGUAAAUCUCUGGGUAAAUCGGGCAGCUUAACUGUCCGAAUUCCGGAAAGACUGCUGGACUUGGGACCGGGGGAGGUUGGAGGUACUCCUGGGGUAGGGGUGAAAUCCUGUAAUCCUGGGGGGACCACCAGUGGCGAAGGCGUCCAACCAAAACGGCUCCGACGGUAAGGGACGAAGCCCUGGGGCGCAAACGGGAUUAGAUACCCCGGUAGUCCAGGGUGUAAACGCUG
rnacentral:rRNA from 1 species